CCCUGCCGGGAAAAAAGAAGCACGUGCUGUUUGGAUUGCAGGAGCGCACGGAUCUACUGAAGAGAGUGAAUGGAAGUGUCUGAUUCUGAAGACAAAAGAGGAACUGUGGGCCUCAAAUGGCUGAUGUCU